rnacentral:rRNA from 1 species
ACGCUCGACACCUACGGGGGCAGCAGUGGGGAAUAUUGCACAAUGGGGGAAACCCUGAUGCAGCGACGCCGCGUGAGUGAAGAAGUAUUUCGGUAUGUAAAGCUCUAUCAGCAGGGAAGAAGAUGACGGUACCUGAGUAAGAAGCCCCGGCUAACUACGUGUCCAGCACGCCGACGGUAAUCUGAGGCGGGCGUGGACGAAGGC